rnacentral:rRNA from 1 species
GACGAACGCUGGCGGCGUGCUUAACACAUGCAAGUCGAACGGAAAGGCCCUGCUUUUGUGGGGUGCUCGAGUGGCGAACGGGUGAGUAACACGUGAGUAACCUGCCCUUGACUUUGGGAUAACUUCAGGAAACUGGGGCUAAUACCGGAUCGGAGCUCCUGCUGCAUGGUGGGGGUUGGAAAGUUUCGGCGGUUGGGGAUGGGCUCGCGGCUUAUAAGCUUGUUGGUGGGGUAGUGGCUUACCAAGGCUUUGACGGGUAGCCGGCCUGAGAGGGUGACCGGCCACAUUGGGACGGAGAUACGGCCCAGACUACUACGGGAGGCAGCAGUGGGGAAUAUUACACAAUGGGCGGAAGCCUGAUGCAGCAACGCCGCGUGCGGGAUGACGGCCUUCGGGUUGUAAACCGCUUUCGCCUGUGACGAAGCGUGAGUGACGGUAAUGGGUAAAGAAGCACCGGCUAACUACGUG